UACGGGGGGGGCAAGCGUUGUUCGGAAUUACUGGGCGUAAAGGGCGCGUAGGCGGUUCGCUAAGUUGGAUGUGAAGACUCUGGGCUCAACCCAGAGCCUGCAUCCAAAACUGGCGGGCUAGAGUUCUGGAGGGGGUAGCGGAAUUCCUGGUGUAGCGGUGAAAUGCGUAGAUAUCAGGAGGAACACCGGUGGCGAAGGCGGCUACCUGGACAGAAACUGACGCUGAGGCGCGAAAGCUAGGGGAGCAAACAGG
rnacentral:rRNA from 1 species